rnacentral:lncRNA from 1 species
CAUAACUAAUUAUCCAUCUUUCUCUCUCUUUCUCUCUAUCUAGGCCCAUAACCAUUACUCUUCUCUCUCUCUUUCUCUCUCUCUCUCUCCCUCCCUCUCCUAUACAGAUCCAAAACUCUCUACUCACUACUCACCCGAUCGCCUCUCUCCCACUCCAUCUCCUUCGAGCUCUCUGAGGAUUUUUCUCUUCUCUACCUUUUCUAG